rnacentral:rRNA from 1 species
UGGGGAAUUUUGGACAAUGGGCGCAAGCCUGAUCCAGCCACGCCGCGUGCGGGAAGAAGGCCUUCGGGUUGUAAACCGCUUUUGUCAGGGAAGAAAUCUUCUGAGUUAAUACCUCGGGAGGAUGACGGUACCUGAAGAAUAAGCACCGGCUAACUACGUGCCAGCAGCCGCGGUAAUACGUAGGGUGCAAGCGUUAAUCGGAAUUACUGGGCGUAAAGCGUGCGCAGGCGGUUUUGUAAGACAGAGGUGAAAUCCCCGGGCUCAACCUGGGAACUGCCUUUGUGACUGCAAGGCUUGAGUGCGGCAGAGGGGGAUGGAAUUCCGCGUGUAGCAGUGAAAUGCGUAGAUAUGCGGAGGAACACCGAUGGCGAAGGCAAUCCCCUGGGCCUGCACUGACGCUCAUGCACGAAAAGCGUGGGGAGCAAAACAGGAUUAGAUACCCUGGUAGUCCACGCCCUAAAACGAUGUCAACUGGUUGUUGGGGAAGGUUCCUUCUCAGUAACGUAGCUAAACGCGUGAAAGUUGACCGCCUGGGGAGUACGGCCGCAAAGGUUGAAAACUCAAAGGAAAUUGACGGGGUCAUAGCUGUUUCCUG